AGUGAACGCUGGCGGUAGGCCUAACACAUGCAAGUCGAACGGCAGCACACUAUGAGCUUGCUCUUACGGGUGGCGAGUGGCGGACGGGUUAAGCAUACAUCGGAAUCUACUUUUUCGUGGGGGAUAACGUAGGGAAACUUACGCUAAUACCGCAUACGACCUACGGGUGAAAGCAGGGGAUCUUCGGACCUUGCGCGUUUGCAUGCGCCGAGGUCGGAUUAGCUAGUUGGCGGGGUAAAGGCCCACCAAGGCGACGAUCCGUAGCUGGUCUGAGAGGGUGAGCAGCCACACUGGAACUGAGACACGGUCCAGACGCAUACGGGAGGCAGCAGUGGGGAAUAGUGGACAAGGGGCGCAAGACUGAUCCAGACAUACCGCGUGGGUGAAGAAGGCCUUCGGGUUGUAAAGCACUUUUGUUGGGAAAGAAAAGCAGCAGGUUAAUACCCCGCUGUUCUGACGGUACCCAAAGAAUAAGCACCGGCUAACUUCGUG
rnacentral:rRNA from 1 species